ACAGCGAGCAUCAAAUGGUUGACCAGCUGACGCCCGCAGCUCCGUCGUGAGUGGACAGUUGGUUCUAAUAUAAAUUCGUCUUGUGGUUCUCUUCCUGUCUCCUUCGCCAACCUCAGCUCCUGAAAGUUCUCGCUGGUCUUUACAAUCAGCUUUCAAGCGAUUCUUUGAAGCACUGCAAAUAUGCCCACGAAACACGAGGCCACGUGGAGCUCCCAACUUGCUACUUAGCUAACAUUCAUUGUAAGUAAGGCUCAUCUGACUCCUAGUUAUUGUGAAACGCAAGCUAAUAUAACGUUUUAUGCUGCAAUUGUAUGAAAUAAUUCAUAACGUUAUAUCUUAACAUUGUGUUCCCCUCUUAUUUGUAGCAACUUUUGGAUGACUAUCCAAAAUGCUUCAUUGUGGGCGCAGACAACGUGGGCUCCAAGCAGAUGCAGACCAUCCGCCUGUCUCUGCGUGGGAAGGCUGUGGUGCUGAUGGGUAAAAACACCAUGAUGCGCAAAGCCAUUCGCGGCCACCUGGAGAACAAUGCUGCCCUGGAGAAGAAACGUGGGCUUUGUCUUCACAAAGGAGGAUCUGGCUGAGGUCCGGGACAUGCUGUUGAACAACAAGGUACCUGCAGCUUUCAUGCUAGAGCAAACUCCACUUGUCAUGUGAAUGUGCCAUCCCA